rnacentral:RNase_P_RNA from 1 species
GCAAGUUAAAGACAGCUGCUGGUUUUUAUUAACUAAGGAAACUCCGCCCAUCAUACAAGACUAUGGCGUUGAAAAACGUAUGCUGAGAAGCAUGACACUGGAGCAGAAACGAUACGUCUUUUAAUGGCAGACUAUGAUAUUUAAUUGAGGACAUUAAAAGAACAGGUGAAACGGCCAUUCCAUAGGAUGCAAGAGCAAAGUUGCCGAUAAUCUCUUGAGUAGGCAAGGUAGCACGCUAAGAUGAAUGCUGUAAAACAGAAGGUGGGUUACUCUUAACAGGC